GCCUACAGCCAUACCACCCUGAAUGUGCCCGAUCUCAUCUGAUCUCAGAAGUAGGGCCUGGUUAGUACCUGGAUGGGAGAAGACACAUAAGUGGGUGGGUAGGUG
rnacentral:rRNA from 1 species